ACAUUUAAACAAGCAAAUCGUAAUUCAUGUCAAACAGACAACAUACAGUAUCAGUUCUUCAGUCUUUCAACCCAUAAUUAAUAAAACAGUAAUAUAUGCACUCGAAACUAUAAAACGAACACAUCAAACCUCAUAAUGCAUUUAAAGCUGUAAAACAGGCCAAAUAACAGUAAAUCAUCAAUCACACUAGACUCGGGCUCCAUUAGCAACCUUAAGCAAUUUCACACAUGCGUUAAUUCAAGAAAUACCGUUUUAUCAUUUUGAACUUUAAUACCGUGAUAGGAAAUAGGGUGAGGGGUUCUUACUUGUUUUCGGGAUCCGAAUACGAUUCACAGUGCGCCUACAGGCCGUCCCUAAUUUUCCCUGAAUUUUUUUCCCGGGGAACUGAAACACACUAACGGUACCUGCACGUAUUCCAAAAAAUCUCAAAU
rnacentral:lncRNA from 1 species